rnacentral:rRNA from 1 species
GUGCCAGCAGCCGCGGUAAUACGGAGGGUGCGAGCGUUGUCCGGAAUCAUUGGGCGUAAAGGGCGCGUAGGUGGCCCGGUCAGCGUGCGGUGAAAGCUCGGGGCUCAACCCCGAGUCGGCCGUGCGAACUGCUGGGCUCGAGCACUGUAGAGGCAGGCGGAAUUCCGGGUGUAGCGGUGGAAUGCGUAGAGAUCCGGAAGAACACCGGUGGCGAAGGCGGCCUGCUGGGCAGUAGCUGACACUGAGGCGCGACAGCGUGGGGAGCAAACAGGAUUAGAAACCCCCGUAGUCC